ACAACACUGGUUCCUGUAUGAUCACCAAAGUUAAGCAAUGUCAAGCCUGGUCAGUACCUAGAUGGGUGACCACUUGGGAAUACCAAGUGCUGUAAG